AUUGAACGCUGGCGGCAUGCCUUACACAUGCAAGUCGAACGGCAGCACGGGAGCAAUCCUGGUGGCGAGUGGCGAACGGGUGAGUAAUAUAUCGGAACGUGCCCAGUAGUGGGGGAUAGCCCGGCGAAAGCCGGAUUAAUACCGCAUACGACCUGAGGGUGAAAGCGGGGGAUCGCAAGACCUCGCGCUAUUGGAGCGGCCGAUAUCAGAUUAGCUAGUUGGUGGGGUAAAGGCCUACCAAGGCUACGAUCUGUAGUUGGUCUGAGAGGACGACCAGCCACACUGGGACUGAGACACGGCCCAGACUCCUACGGGAGGCAGCAGUGGGGAAUUUUGGACAAUGGGCGCAAGCCUGAUCCAGCAAUGCCGCGUGCAGGAAGAAGGCCUCGGUUGU
rnacentral:rRNA from 1 species